ensembl:lncRNA
CCCAGGCCCCUCUCCCAUUCCUUAGCUCAGGAUGGCAUCCAAGCCUCAGGUGCCCAGCUUGUCCUUGGGUCUCAUUGCCUUUGUGGGGCCCCCUGUACAUAAGUAAUUAAAUUUGUUUUCCUCCUGUUAAUCUGUUUUAUGUUAAUUCGAUUAUUAGACCAGCCAAAGAACAUAGAAGGGUAGAAGGAAAAAUUUUUCCUUCCCUACAGCUGGCGUAGCUGGCAGGAUAAACUUCACUAGCUGGGCACUGCUCACUCUGAGGCUGCUGCAGCUGAGAGAUCCUGGGACCUCUGACAAGUGCUGGCAGAAGGUAAGAAUCCUUACCAUGUCAGUUUCCUGGAUCUCUACCUGCCAAGUCUGGUAGAAAUGAGAAUGGUGAGAGACCUUUCUUUUUCUAAAUUUAGAUUAGCAGGAGAAAAUAUUUGUGGGCUAGUUCCUUGGGCAUAGUGACUCUGGUAAAGAUUUGGUAAUGAGUGCUCCUGUUUUCUAUCGAUACUUUUUCCUCCCAGAGAUGGCCAUUGUUUUCUUUUGUCUACUUUAUGAUCAGUGAGAAUAUUCUCUCUGGUCUCUGCCAGCUGGAGGAUGCAUACGCAUCUGGUGGGCAGCUGAAUAGACUGUGGAUCUGAGUUUAGGGAAUCUGAAAAAAAAGUGAACUUUUGGCUUGGACACAAUUGGAAGCAUUGGUUAUAUUACUAAAGCUUUGACUGGAACGUCAUAUUUGAGAGAGACAUGCAUAGACUCAGAUAUGACCAGGAAGCUUUAAGGAACUAAGUUUGACUUUCUGGAGCCAAUAAAGCCCCUUGGAAAAAUCAGCCUGGUACUUUGCUUACAAGGUUCCCAGUAAUCUUGACAGGUGAGUAAUGAAGGUCACUUCCUGGCAGGCACAGGAACAUCAAGAUAUUUUGGUGACCUUGGGAAGUCACCCAAAUCUAUAAGUAUUGCAGACAAAGUCUGAUGGUGAGACCUUGGCUUUGCAUCUUAACCUCAAGAGGUUUUUAAAAAGUCCAAUCUGAGAUUCCUUAUGAAAAAUUCCAGCAGAGCAGAUUAUAAGAUUCUAUAUGGUCAAUCAUUAUUCUUGCUGCAUUUAUGUAAAUAAUCAGGGCAAUCUUAUUGAAACUAGACUUAAUUUGCAAACAAAUUAGUCUUACUAUGGUUAUCUUUGAUAGAAUUGGGAUGAUUGUAGAGAGAAAAAUUAUGUUUCAAUAAUAUAUCUUUGUGGAAAUUGGAUUCUAAUACUGUUAAUUGUCUUUGGGGUUUUGUUAUAUACCUGUAAACUGGACUAGAUCCUGUAUUCUUCUAGUUUCCUCAAAUAUCUCGCUAUGAUUCUCUAAACUAAUGUUUCUAAUUUUUCUCCUUCUGACUUGGAAUCAUUGAAAACUAAAACUACCCUUUUUUCUGGAGCCAUGCAAGCUAAUGUUGGACAACUUGAUAUAAACUUUAGAGAAAUCACCACAACAGCUCAUGUAUGGACAAUCUUCAUGUCUGUUGCUGUGUGACCACUCAGAAAGAACACCAGAGAUUUUCAAACUGCAAACCAGGAAAAUCUAUCAGAUUGUCACUGCCUGUCCUCACUCCAUCUAAAGAUACUUCAAGCCAGAUAUCUAGAAAUCUUCUCAACUGGCUGCCUUCAGAACUCAGAAACUGGGAUUAUAAUAUGCUUCAAUUAUUAACUUUUGUUUUUCUUUCAUUUCCAUAGAAAUGCCUCUUAUUAAAUACUUGAUUGCUUGCAGCAUAAGCCUAACUUUGGAAGCCCACCUGCAUUAUUGCCUCCUGAAAUGAGACACAACUGUUUAACUGAACUGACUUAUUUUCAGGACUAAGAGACUUGUUCAGUGAGAUGGAGCCAUCUACCAACUCAACUUCUAGACUGUGAAACUUCUUGAGGAAGUUUCAAAGAAGGAAAAACCGCAGCCAAAAUGUGCAACUGGGACCUAAUUCCUUAGCAGCAGAGCAGGAGGGUGUUUUGCUGUGUCAGUGGCAAUUUUCCCUGCUGCUUCGUUUGGAACUGCCAGACUUCAUCAGAACAAGUGGCAUCAGAUGCCUUUAGAUGCGGUCCAAUUCACCGGGGUGAAUAAAACAGGCGACUUCUCAUACAGACUUCCUUACCAUUUGUUGUGCUGCUGUGGGUUUGUACCCUACAAACAGGGAAUUCUGAUGCUCCAGGCGAGUGGCACUCCAUGGCUUCAGGCAGGCGGGCAGUCGGAAGAAGCCAGAGCACACGAGGAGUUGAGGCCUGCGCCAUGUCAGGGGCUCGAGCAGGUGGACGAGAGGACACAGUUUCAGGCAAGUGCUGUGGUAAGGAAGAAGCCAGCGGAGAGACUGGCUCACGAUUCCCCUCUUUGAGGUUUCCGCCUCCCAUGGCCGUGGCUGAUUGAUCCAUGGAAAGAUGCCUGACCCAGGCUGGACCAAUCAGAAUCCUUCCCCAGGAUUUUCGAACUGGAGCUAAGGGGAGCCACG